rnacentral:rRNA from 1 species
CUCCUACGGGUGGCUGCAGUGAGGAAUAUUGGACAAUGGGUGCAAGCCUGAUCCAGCCAUCCCGCGUGAAGGAUUAAGGUCCUAUGGAUUGUAAACUUCUUUUAUACAGGGAUAAACCUCUCCUCGUGAGGAGAGCUGAAGGUACUGUAUGAAUAAGCACCGGCUAACUCCGUGCCAGCAGCCGCGGUAAUACGGAGGGUGCAAGCGUUAUCCGGAUUUAUUGGGUUUAAAGGGUCCGUAGGCGGGCCGAUAAGUCAGUGGUGAAAUCUCGCAGCUUAACUGUGAAACUGCCAUUGAUACUGUCGGUCUUGAGUAAAUUUGAAGUGGCUGGAAUAAGUAGUGUAGCGGUGAAAUGCAUAGAUAUUACUUAGAACACCAAUUGCGAAGGCAGGUCACUAAGAUUUAACUGACGCUGAUGGACGAAAGCGUGGGUAGCGAACAGGAUUAGAUACCCUGGUAGUCCACGCCGUAAACGAUGCUAACUCGUUUUUGGGCACUUGUGCUCAGAGACCAAGCGAAAGUGAUAAGUUAGCC